UAAUUUGCACCAGAAAAAGAUGGUGAAUACGGUGGUAAAAAAAUCACAUAAAAUGGGAAAUAGAAAGGGGGUCAUCAGAGAGGGUUUUGGGUUUUGGCUGCGGCGGCUCGACUGAACUUUGCCCACAGUUUUUGGCUCAUCUGUUGCCUCUUUUGCUCUGAUAUGGCCACAGAGAGGCUCGAGAUUGAAUUCUGAGUGGGAUGGAAAAAUUUUUACCAUUCUUGGAGGUCGGCGGUGGCUCCGAUGCAGCAGCAGCGAUGUCCUUCUGGCAAUUGGUCUUCCCUUUGGCAGCCUCCUUCUUCUUCUUCUUUAGUUGGGUGUCGGCUAAGGUUUGGGGUCGACUGAAGAGAGGUUUAAAUACCUCUAUUCUAUCUAAGUCGGACCGUCUGAUCACGUCUAAAAAAGAAAUGCAUCUGGGCCUUUCGUGCACACGGAAUGCGAUUUGGACCGUCGAAUCGCCUAGGCACACGGAUCGCCCAUGUGGCCUCCGAGAUUGGCAUCUCUGUCAAGUGGCUUUUUUGAUUUGCAAUGGCUGCUGACAUGGCUGUCCCACGUGGUCCUAUUUUUUCUUUUUGCGAUUUCACCUAUUGUUUUCAAUUUGUUUUUUAAAAACACCCCCUUAUUCAUAAUUUCACUCAUUUUCUCUAGAAUUAUUUCUAAUUUCGUCCAUAUUUUAUUUUUUUCAAUAAUUUAAAUAAAAUAAAAUAAAAAUAAAAUUUUAGUUAUUUAUAUUUAUAUUAUAUAAAUAGAAAAAUCAUCCCAGGUCAAAUUUUCGGAUCCGAGUGUUAUAAAAUAACUAUUCUUUGUGCUCAUAAAUUUUAACCAAGUUUUUUAUUUCUGCAUAAGAUUUAUGAUAAAAUGGUGACAUACAUAAAUGUGCUUUGGUUAUCUGUGGAAAAUAAAAUUUUAUCAUAAGGAUGGCAAUUAUCACAAUAAAUAAUUGUGACGUGUUAAUACACAAGGUUUUAUCAACUCAGUAUGCUCAUGAAUCUAGCCUAUGUGUAAUAGUUACUAGCUUUGAGCAACUAAGAGACCAUGAACAUACUUGAACUGUAACAGUCCGAACUCUCAUCUCGAGUGCAGAUCGUACGCACACCAUAAAUAAUAAAAUCAUCUGUAGAAAUAUUUUGUGCAACAAAUCUUAAAAUUAUAAAAGUACAUCCCUUGCAUAGUUAUCUUAAAAUAUCAAAUAUCCAUGAAAUAUGUCUAAACUCUUAAAUAAAUAUUUAUUACAAAGUAAAUAGUUAAUCUUAAGUACAAUUCGAAUUAAAAUAAAAAAUUAAACGAACUCCUAGCAAAUCUCUCACUAUUUAGGAGCUUAAUUUUGAUUAUCCUGAUNNNN
rnacentral:lncRNA from 1 species